GGACGACAUCACUCUAAAGUGCUGGGACGGAGCAUAACUGGUAAGACCGUUCACAGGACACCAGAGAGAUUGGGGCCAGAGUUUGGGUCCAGGUAGAAGGAAGGAAGGGAAUCGGGGACCUUGUGUGUGCCAGGCUCGCCCUCUGUACCAGGAAUGGCAUGCGGAGAGAAGGAAAAGGCACCAGCUCAAGGAGGGGACUUAACGUCGUUGGAAAGAGAUUUCGCCCAGUUCUCCGGAACUGAAGCACAGACACAGAAGGCUCAGUGGUGGGCGGGACCACACCUUGGCCCGGGCUAAAUAGCUGUGCAAGUCCCUGGCUUCUAUUAAACUUUGAUUUCUCCUUAGGGCCAGUGGAUUUUGGUGGCAUUUGCCGGAUCUCUGUGCUUCUCUUCCCAAUGUGGCCACAUUAAAUACAUCUCCCUUUCUG
rnacentral:lncRNA from 1 species